UGGGGUGUAGCCAAGUGGUAAGGCAGUGGUUUUUGGUACCACCAUCCUAGGUUCGAAUCCUAGCACCCCAGCCA
rnacentral:tRNA from 1 species